AGAGUUUGAUCCUGGCUCAGGAUGAACGCUGGCGGCGUGCCUAAUACAUGCAAGUCGAACGGACGUAGCAAUACGUUAGUGGCGACCGGGUGCGUAACACGUAGCUGACCUGCCCCUCAGCGGGGGACAACACCGGGAAACUGGUGCUAAUACCGCAUGAUAUCAAUAGAUUUAGAACCUGUUGAUUAAACUUACGGGGCUGAGGGAGGGGGCUGCGGCCCAUCAGGUAGUUGGUGAGGUAAAAGCUCACCAAGCCAAUGACGGGUAGGGGGCCUGAGAGGGUGGUCCCCCACACUGGAACUGACACACGGUCCAGACCCCUACGGGAGGCAGCAGUAAGGGAUAUUGCACAAUGGGCGAAAGCCUGAUGCAGCAACGCCGCGUGGAGGAAGAAGGCCUUCGGGUUGUAAACUUCUUUUGACGCUGACGAGGAAGGACGGUAGGCGUCGAAUAAGUCACGGUUAACUACGUGCCAGCAGCCGCGGUAAUUC
rnacentral:rRNA from 1 species